rnacentral:tRNA from 1 species
AUUCGAGUAGUAUAAUUAUUACAAUACAUUUUCAAUGUAUAGACAGAUCAUAUCUCUUGAAUAU